rnacentral:rRNA from 1 species
UACGGGGGGGGCAAGCGUUGUUCGGAAUUACUGGGCGUAAAGGGCUCGUAGGCGGCCAACUAAGUCAGACGUGAAAUCUCUCGGCUUAACCGGGGAACUGCGUCUGAUACUGGAUGGCUUGGAUUCGGGAGAGGAAUGCGGAAUUCCUGGUGUAGCGGUGGAAUGCGCAGAUAUCAGGAGGAACACCAAUAGCGAAGGCAGCUCGCUGGGACGUUACUGACGCUGAGACGCGAAAGCGUGGGGAGCAAACAGG